rnacentral:rRNA from 1 species
GGUCAAGCUGGAAAGGGUGCAUGGUGGAUGCCUGGGCGUGCAGAGGCGAUGAAGGACGUUGUAGGCUGCGAUAUGCCCCGGGGAGCCGCCAAACAGGCUGUGAUCCGGGGAUCUCCGAAUGGGGCAACCCGGCGCUGCCGGGCAACCGGACAGCGUCGCGCCCCGCUGAAUGCAUAGGCGGGGCCGGGCGAACCCAGGGAACUGAAACAUCUCAGUACCUGGAGGAAAGGAAAUCAACCGAGACUCCGUCAGUAGCGGCGAGCGAACGCGGAUCAGCCCAUGGCUUCGAGCCAUACGUCGUUGCGAAGUCAGUCGAACGGUCUGGAAAGGCCGACCACAGAAGGUGACAGUCCUGUAGGCGGCAGCGGAGCAACGGCGGUCGAGUAGGUCGGAGCUCGUGGAACUCUGACUGAACCUGCGGGGCCCACCCUGCAAGGCUAAGUACUCCUGCACGACCGAUAGUGGACCAGUAAGGCGACUGAAAGGUGAAAAGCACCCCUGCUAGGGGAGUUCAAAGCACCUGAAACCAUGUACCUACAAGCUGUCGGAGCCCGAUGGCGGGCUUGCCCGCCCGGGUGACGGCGUACCUUUUGCAUAAUGGACCGGCGAGUUACCGUAUGCGGCGAGGCUAAGCGCUUCCGGCGCGGAGCCGCAGCGAAAGCGAGUCUGAAGAGGGCGAAUGAGUCGCAUGCGGUAGACCCGAACCCACGUGAUCUACCCAUGGGCAGGCUGAAGGGAGGGUAAAACCUCCUGGAGGGCCGAAGCCGUGAACGUUGAAAAGUUCUGGCAUGACCUGUGGGGAGGAGUAAAAGUCUAAUCAAACGUGGAGAUAUCUGGUUCUCCCCGAAAUGUCUUUUGGGACAGCCUCGGGCCACUACGCCGCAGGGGUAGAGUUACUGAACGAGAUACGGGGCCUACCCGGCUGCCGUCCUCAAUCAAACUCCGAAUACUGCGGCGACUAUCCCGGGAGUGAGUAUGCGGGCGCUAACGUCCGUGCACGAAAGGGAAACAACCCGAACCGCCAGCUAAGGCCCCCAAGUCCGGCUAAGUGACUAAGGACGUCCGUUUUCACAGACAGCCAGGAUGUUGGCUUAGAAGCAGCCACCAUUUAAAAAGUGCGUAAUAGCUUACUGGUCGAGAAAAUGGGCGCCGAUGAUGAUCGGGACUAAGCCGGGCGCCGAAGCUGCGGGACUGAGAGUCGGUGACAAGUGACACGGGAAGGGCGGCAGCGCAUCUGUCACCUUCCACGUGGCACUUGCCGCCGGCUUUUGGUCGGUAGGGGAGCGUACUACCGGAGAUACAAGCCAUACCGUGAGGAGUGGUGCCGGCCGGUAGUAGUGAGAAUGCCGGUAUGAGUAACGAGAAAGCGGGUGAGAAUCCCGCUCGCCGUAAGCCCAAGGGUUCCUGGGGAAGGUAAAUCCGCCCAGGGUUAGUCGGAACCUAAGCCGAGGCCGAAAGGCGUAGGCGAUGGACAGCAGGUUAAUAUUCCUGCACUCCGUCUGUCGGUUGAACCGGCGGGGACGUUGUCCAGGACCGCAGCCCACUACGAGAAUAGAGGGUGCCCGCAAGGGCGAGGCCGAUUUGUUGCCGAAGUGCGGAAAUGGACAACCGAGAAAAGCCGUCCGGGGACGGCAUGCGGAUCCGUACCAAAACUGACACAGGUGGGCGAGGAGAGUAUCCUAACGGCGCUCGAGAGAACGGUCCUUAAGGAACUAGGCAAUUUGACCCCGUAACUUCGGGACAAGGGGGCCCUACCCCGCGAGGGGAGGGCGCAGAGAAACGGCUCUGGGAACUGUUUAUCAAAAACACAGUUCUGUGCUAACUCGUAAAGAGGAAGUAUACAGAAUGACGCCUGCUCGGUGCCGGAAUGUUAAGGAAGCCGGUCAGCCGCAAGGCGAAGCUGGCGACCGAAGCACCGGUAAACGGCGGCCGUAACUAUGACGGUCCUAAGGUAGCGAAGUUCCUUGUCGGGUAAGUUCCGACGCGCAUGAACGGCGUAAUCACUGGAGCAGUGUCUCAAGGACCGACUCGGUGAAAUUGAAGUCGCGGUGAAGAUACCGUGUACCCGCAGCAAGACGGAAAGACCCCGUGAACCUUUACUGCAGCCUGGUAUGGGCACCCGGUUUCGAAUGCGUAGGAUAGGUGGGAGGCGCUGAGGCUCCGGUUUCGGCCGGAGCGGAGCCGACGGUGAAAUACCACCCUUUCGGCAUUGGUUGUCUAACCCCGACCCGUGAAUCCGGGCGGGGGACAGUGCUAGGUGGGCAGUUUGACUGGGGCGGUCUCCUCCCAAAGCGUAACGGAGGAGUGCAAAGGUCGGCUCAGCACGGUUGGCAAUCGUGCGCAGAGCGCAAGGGUAGAAGCCGGCUUAACUGCGAGACUCAAAAGUCGAGCAGAUGCGAAAGCAGGCCCUAGUGACCCGGUGAUCCCGUGUGGAAGGGUCAUCGCUCAUCUGACAAAAGGUACUCCGGGGAUAACAGGCUGAUCGCCACCGAGCGUCCAUAGCGGCGUGGCGGUUUGGCACCUCGAUGUCGGCCCAUCACAUCCUGGGGCUGAAGGCGGUCCCAAGGGUUCGGCUGUUCGCCGAUUAAAGUGGUACGCGAGCUGGGUUCAGACCGGCGUGAGCCAGGUCGGUCCCUAUCUGCUGUGGGCGUACGAGUCCUGCGGGGCUAUCACCCUAGUACGAGAGGAUUGGGUGGUACGGGCCUCUGGUGCACCAGUUGUCGCGCUAGCGGCACGGCUGGGUAGCUAAGCCCGGACUGGAUAAACGCUGAAAGCAUCUAAGCGUGAAGCCGUCCCCAAGAUGAGGACUCGGUGUUCCCCCGCAAGGGGUUGAACUGAAGGCCCCUGGUAGACCACCAGGUUGAUAGGCCGGAUGUGCAAGGGCAGAAAUGCCUUCAGCUUACCGGUACUAACGGCCGAGGGCUUGACCGC